AGAGUUUGAUCCUGGCUCAGAACGAACGCUGGCGGCGUGCUUAACACAUGCAAGUCGAACGUGAAAUCCGCUUUCGGGCGGAGAGUAAAGUGGCGCACGGGUGAGUAACGCGUGGAUAAUCUACCCCGAGGCCUGGGAUAACCCGCCGAAAGGCGGGCUAAUACCGGAUAAUGUCCCACUACAUAAGUAGUGUGACCAUAGGAGGCUCUGCUUCCGCCACGGGAUGAGUCCGCGUACCAUUAGCUAGUUGGUAGGGUAAAGGCCUACCAAGGCUACGAUGGUUAGCUGGUCUGAGAGGACGAUCAGCCACACUGGAACUGAGACACGGUCCAGACUCCUACGGGAGGCAGCAGUGGGGAAUAUUGCGCAAUGGGGGAAACCCUGACGCAGCGACGCCGCGUGAGCGAUGAAGGCCUUCGGGUCGUAAAGCUCUGUCAGGUGGGAAGAACCACUCGCAGGUUAAUACCCUGCGGGUCUGACGGUACCACCAGAGGAAGCACCGGCUAACUCCGUGCCAGCAGCCGCGGUAACACGGAGGGUGCAAGCGUUGUUCGGAAUCACUGGGCGUAAAGGACGCGCAGGCGGUCUGGUAAGUCAGAAGUGAAAUCCGUCGGCUCAACCGACGAACGGCUUCUGAUACUGCCAGACUUGAGUACGGGAGAGGAAAGCGGAAUUCCCAGUGUAGAGGUGAAAUUCGUAGAUAUUGGGAAGAACACCGGUGGCGAAGGCGGCUUUCUGGACCGAUACUGACGCUGAGGCGUGAAAGCGUGGGGAGCAAACAGGAUUAGAUACCCUGGUAGUCCACGCUGUAAACGGUGAGUACUAGGUGUAGGGGGUACCGACCCCCCCUGUGCCGCAGCUAACGCACUAAGUACUCCGCCUGGGAACUACGGCCGCAAGGCUAAAACUCAAAGGAAUUGAUGG
rnacentral:rRNA from 1 species